AGUGGAUGGUGGGAAGCAAGAUGGCGGCCACGGCCAGCAUUCGGGAGAGGCAAACAGGUACUCGGUAUUUCCUUCUCUGCAGUGUGUGCCUCAGCAGCGGCCUGUCAUCAUCUCUGGGUUGUUCGUACAGCUCGGAGUUGAGCUUUGAGAGCUGCUCCGUUUUGAGGUUGUGGGGAAGAGAUGCCUGUAAGCUUCACAGCCUUUACCACAGGCUGCUUGCUACAGUGCUAGCUACUUAUUUUUUAAUUGCCGAGUUUUAGAAGGCCAUCAGGGCAAGGACCAGCAGCUGGUGUUUUCUUUCCUGUCUUGUCACUUAACGAGGUCUAUAGGUUUGUGUUCGUAUUUCAAGUCUCCCAGGUCGGUUUGGUUUUCACUUUCAGUUUUAGGGUUUUUUUUAAAAAAACCUGUUUUUGACACUUGAGCCAUGAUUACAAAAUCUAAGUAUUCUUUUCCGAGCACCUUACUUUAUGCCAUCAUCUUUGGACCCUUUGGGAGAAGCUGAUGGAAAAUGCCAGGUGAUAAAGCUGGAAGAGACUUCGGAAUGUCAAAUCAAAUUAACAGCGUCCUCUUUCAGUUGUUCCACAGAUAAUAAUCUUAAAAUAUAGAACAGUUGUAUCUUAAGUAGAGCAUAUUUGUACACCCAUUUAUAAAGUAAAAAUUUAAAGAUACAUAUUUCUUCCCUUGGUUUUAGUUUAGUUUUUUUUUUUUUUUUACAUGUGAGAUACACCUGAUUUUCCUUAUUUUCAGUAAACUCUAGAAACUUAAUGUAUGUAUAUUGGCCCCAGAAUAAUUACCUAUACGUAUAUCAUAUAUAAUGUGAUAUGUAUAAAUCAGAACUGACUUACAUAUACUACUUAUCUAGUAACUCCCAAAGAGAAUAGAAAUCGUCCAUAAGCGAUAAAGAACUUUAAUUCUCUUGAACCUAUGCUUAUUUGUAUGAAAAACAAUUGGUUACAAGCAAUACAACAUAGCAAUAGAAUUUGAACUGUGCCUGAUUCCUUCCCUUGUG
rnacentral:lncRNA from 1 species